AGGACGUAAGUAGUGUUUCAAUUAAGGUUUUCCGUGUUGUUCUUCUUCUCCGCCUCUCAUGUUGCUUAAGCCUUCUCAUUCGAUCUCUCAUCUUCUUCCUCAGAGGCCGAAACGACACCAGUAACCGAAAAAUCAUCUUAAAAUCCUCCAUUAAUCUCUCACACACAAUCUCUAUUCAAUGCAAUUUCUGUUUCUCUAAGGCGGUGGAGGUUCAGCAAUAAAAAAACAUAUGCUUUUUUUUUUACUUUUUGAAUCAUCUUAUCAUUCGUUCUUAACUCCACAUAUUGUUCAUAGCCAAAAUUAAUUUCAUCGAUCUAUGUCUUUUCGUAUGGUUUUCUACUUACCGGCGAAAGAGAUCUGGAAAUGUUACGAUGAUCGGCUGAGUCCAAGUGUCCUCUUUAACGCACACAUUAGCAACAACUCUUCACUCCUUUGACGAUUUGUGUUUCAAUGUACCUCUCAUUACUGCCAUAGUGUGAAUCCUCAACUAUAAAUAGAUUGAAUAUGAGGAGCACGAGAGUGUCUGAGAGCGAUAGAUUGUGAGAGAAGAGAGAACGACUGGUGCUAAUGAUGUCGGAGCUUCCUCGCUUUUGGAUUAUGUUUGGUGGAGACAGUGCUGGUGGAGAAGUUCAAGAAAUGUAUCCCGUCAUCUCUGUUUCUUCUUAUGCGCCUUAUUGGAUCUGGUCCACCUGAUUUGAGAUUAGCGUUUAGUCAAAGAUCUAUUAGGCUUCUUGAAUUGCAAGGUACAGUUUUAGUUUCGUGAGUUACUGUAGGUUUCAUUAUUUUUAAGUGGUUUUUGUGUGGAUGUUUAUGCUAUGUGAUUACCUAGCUAGGUGAGGACGAGCCAGAUGUUUGUAUUUGAAAGAUUCAUGAGUUUUUAGUUCUGAUGCUUCCAAGAUUGCAUAAGAGGUUCCAUUGUAAUAACAUUAUCUCAGAUAUCUAUGUUGAAUUGAACUUCUUAAAAA